UACGUAGGGUGCGAGCGUUGUCCGGAUUUAUUGGGCGUAAAGAGCUCGUAGGCGGUUGGGUAAGUCGGGUGUGAAAACUCCAGGCUCAACUUGGAGACGCCACCCGAUACUGCUCUGACUUGAGUUCGGUAGGGGAGUGGGGAAUUCCUGGUGUAGCGGUGAAAUGCGCAGAUAUCAGGAGGAACACCGGUGGCGAAGGCGCCACUCUGGGCCGAAACUGACGCUGAGGAGCGAAAGCGUGGGUAGCAAACAGG
rnacentral:rRNA from 1 species